AUUGAACGCUGGCGGCAUGCUUUACACAUGCAAGUCGAACGGUAACAGGCCGCAAGGUGCUGACGAGUGGCGAACGGGAGAGUAAUGCAUCGGAACGUGCCCAGUCGUGGGGGAUAACGCAGCGAAAGCUGCGCUAAUACCGCAUACGAUCUAUGGAUGAAAGCGGGGGACCGUAAGGCCUCGCGCGAUCGGAGCGGCCGAUGUCAGAUUAGGUAGUUGGUGAGGUAAAGGCUCACCAAGCCAACGAUCUGUAGCUGGUCUGAGAGGACGACCAGCCACACUGGGACUGAGACACGGCCCAGACUCCUACGGGAGGCAGCAGUGGGGAAUUUUGGACAAUGGGCGCAAGCCUGAUCCAGCAGUGCCGCGUGCAGGAAGAAGGCCUUCGGGUUGUAAACUGCUUUUGUACGGAACGAAACGGCUCUCACUAAUACUGGGGGCUAAUGACGGUACCGUAAGAAUAAGCACCGGCUAACUACGUGCCAGCCGCCGCAGUAAGAC
rnacentral:rRNA from 1 species